rnacentral:rRNA from 1 species
GUGCCAGCAGCCGCGGUAAUACGAAGGUCCCGAGCGUUAUUCGGAAUCACUGGGCGUAAAGAGUACGUAGGCGGUUUGGUAAGUCAGGUGUGAAAUCCCGGAGCUCAACUCCGGAACUGCAUCCGAUACUGCUAGACUAGAGUAAUGGAGAGGCAGGUGGAAUUCUCGGUGUAGCAGUGAAAUGCGUGGAUAUCGAGAGGAAGACCAAUGGCGAAGGCAGCCUGCUGGACAUUUACUGACGCUGAGGUACGAAGGCCAGGGUAGCGAAAGGGAUUAGAUACCCCUGUAGUCCUGGCAGUAAACGGUGCGCGCUUGGUGUAGGAGGACUCGACCCCUUCUGUGCCGGAGCUAACGCGUUAAGCGCGCCGCCUGGGGAGUACGGUCGCAAGACUAAAACUCAAAGAAAUUGACGGGGACCCGCACAAGCGGUGGAGUAUGUGGCUUAAUUCGAUGCAACGCGAAGAACCUUACCCAGACUUGACAUGUAUUGCUAAACCGGUGAAAGCCGGGGACCCUUCGGGGACCUUACACAGGUGCUGCAUGGCCGUCGUCAGCUCGUGUCGUGAGAUGUUUGGUUAAGUCCAGCAACGAGCGCAACCCCUGUGAAUAGUUGCCAGCACGUAAUGGUGGGGACUCUAUUCAGACCGCCCGGGUCAACCGGGAGGAAGGUGGGGAUGACGUCAGGUCAGUAUGGCCCUUACGUCUGGGGCUGCACACGUACUACAAUGCC